rnacentral:lncRNA from 1 species
CCUUGGUGCCUUUCAUCCCCACUGGUUCUUAGGAUCUUUCUGGGUCCACUUUAGCAGAGUUCCCUGAGCCAUGAGGGAAGGAUUUGACACAGACAUCUCAUUCAGAACUGAGUGUUCCAAGGUCUCUCACUCUCUGCACAUUGUCCAGUCAUCAGUCUCUGAUUUGUUGCAUCUACUGUAGGAGGAAUCAUCCCUGGUGGUGGCUGGGACAAACACUGAUCUAAUUCCCAGGUUAGUGACUACAUGAUGCUUUUAAAGGCAUUCCGGAGCUGUCAGGAUGUCAUACACUUGGUUCAGUCAUCUUACCAUACUUCUGACUCACAGCUGAAAAUUAUGUAGUUCAAAUCAGUUGCACAAUUAGUCUCAAGGUCAUCUAUGUGGUAAAGGUUAGAAGCCAGAAUUUAUUUAUUUACAUGCUUAUUUACUCUGUGUGUGUGUGUUGUGUGUUAGACUUCAAAUAGUGACAAAACCUCUA